AUUGAACGCUGGCGGCAGGCUUAACACAUUCAAGUCGAGCGGAGAGAGGUAGCUUGCUACUGAUCUUAGCGGCGGACGGGUGAGUAAUGCUUAGGAAUCUGCCUAUUAGUGGGGGACAACAUUUCGAAAGGAAUGCUAAUACCGCAUACGUCCUACGGGAGAAAGCAGGGGAUCUUCGGACCUUGCGCUAAUAGAUGAGCCUAAGUCGGAUUAGCUAGUUGGUGGGGUGAAGGCCUACCUAGGCGACGAUCUGUAGCGGGUCUGAGAGGAUGAUCCGCCACACUGGGACUGAGACACGGCCCAGACUCCUACGGGAGGCAGCAGUGGGGAAUAUUGGACAAUGGGCGGAAGCCUGAUCCAGCCAUGCCGCGUGUGUGAAGAAGGCCUUAUGGUUGUAAAGCACUUUAAGCGAGGAGGAGGCUACUUUAGUUAAUACCUAGAGAUAGUGGACGUUACUCGCAGAAUAAGCACCGGCUAACUCUGUGCCAGCCGCCGCCGUAACAC
rnacentral:rRNA from 1 species